UUCACUUCACGUUGAUCCUACUGAAGCAUCUGAUUCUAUCUCAUAUUACAAUGAGUAUUAAUCUAAUGAAGAUUAUUUCUCUUUAGCUCACUAAGUAGCUCGGCUUACCUUACAUUAGAUAACAACUAUUGCGAUAGCACUGUAUAAGUUGGCAACCUGAAAUGCUGUAUACUGUUAAUUUUGUCACUUUCUUGAAUUAAGAAUUUGAUGGUUAUUACGUAUUAGUUAUGUUUAACUAGACAAAAAUACCAGCAUAGCUUUUUGCAGUGGAAACCAAUAGAUAGUGCGUAGUUCAGAUAGCGACUUAGAUGCUCGGAUAUUGUUUCGGUCUCCUCUAUCUAAGCUGGCAUAUAUGUAAUCACUGUUUUUCUUUCACUCUAAGUAACAAUCAUAGUCCUCGUAUAGUUUACAUGUCUUAUGUGGAGUGGAGAUAGAAUUUCCUGUUACAGCUAAUUGACAGGAAAUCACAGAGACUGCAAUUGAAUGAACGCAGCUUACUUCUGAAAUUUAUCCCUGUGAGUGGAUAUGUUGAAAAUAUUAGUUAAUGUUUAUCUUGGGUCAUUCUUUUGUCAAUCUAUCGAGACAAUUAAGAAUAAGAAAUUGAGAAUCAAAACAGUGGAACAUCUGGAUGAAGAAUAUCUUCUAUUGUAAGAUGCAUAUAUCUUCUACUGUGACACUCAUAUGGGCGGUGAACAUAGCUAUGCUGAUUCUUUGACAUGGCUAGUCAUUUCGUUAAGAAAGCCACUAUAAAAGGUUGCUGGAAGCUUUACCUCUUUAAUUCAUAAUUCUCCACAUGACCUUAAUCUCUUUGUAGAGAUCAGAUAGAGCAAGGAUGUUAUCAAUACCCCUCCCUAUUGCAAGGAAUAUCUAUUGAAUGUUUGAGGCUCUUCUUUUACGACCUUCUACUUUCCUGUUGUUAGUGUAUCAGAUGAGCAAAUAUCUGCUUUGUUCUUGAAAUUGAAGUCCUGAUAUUAUUGGCAGAUGUGAGUAUAGUAAGUAUAUUAAGAGAUAUGGUCCUAUUUUGUAUUUUAGGUGGAGGAUGUAAAUUCAUGAUUAGGAAGUGAAUUAGUGGUGAAUUAAAGGGAAGGUUCCUAUCACAGCAUGCCGUUCUUUAUUAACCUCCUUAUGCUUGUCAAGGGGCUAUCCCAUUUGUUACUACAGGAUUGCUGUAACUUCGAUUGAAGGCCCAAAUUCUUGUCUGAUUAAAACCCUCAGGAGGAUUUAAAUUAUACUCACGUCCAAUUUUGGUUUGAAGGGGCAUUAAAACAUUUAUUGAAAAUUUGAAGUAGUUGUACGAAGGUAAAGAAAGUGCUUGUGCUGGUGUGGUGCCAUAUCUAGUGCCCCAUUUGUUGCGGGCUGCAUGUAGCUCUUGCUGCAGUGAAUUUUGUCAGCAUCAAGUAAGUAAUUUCCUGCAAAAUGCUGAGCAAUUUUGGGAAGUGGGAACUUAGCUGUAGCAAAUGUGGUCUUUAACGCCAAAUUUGUGCGAACAGACUUUCCCUAAAGAAAUUUUUUUAGUCUUGCUGUGAAAAGGAAAAAAGUUACCGACUUUUUGAGUUUUUGUUGAUUAACUUCUUGUAUCCACUCAGCGGUUAUGGUUUUCUCGUUUGGCAACUCAACCUAUUGUCAGCUUGACUCUAUUAUGUCUAGACGGAGCAAGAUGAUCAGUAUACUUAUGUUAUAGCCCCAUUUCUUCACCGGGUAAGUACCAUUAAUUGCAGCCAUCAGAACUCCCUCACACACAUUAGGUAUGCCUUUUUUUCUCAACUUCUCAAGAUACCAACUAGCCCCUCAUAUCACUUCUUGCUCAAUAUCUCUUCCUCUAACCUCGAAAGAACGGGAAAUUGGUAAAUUUGUACAAGUGCCUACUUUUCCCUUGAUAUUGUUAGUUUUAGUGGGUCUAAAAGCGUUGAACUGAGGAGGACGAAGAGGAAGGUUGACCCGAGUAAUCAUGUCAAAAGUUCCUCCAUUUUGUGGUUGCAAAAUUGGAGUAUUUGUUCUGUUAAACUAAUGAUGUGAACUUGAUGGAUGUAGUUAAACUGAGGGUGAAGUAAAUGGAGUUUGAAAUUGUUCGCAAGAUCUAUCGUAGGGGAUGAACAAACACUUGGUGUUGCUAGUCAAGUUUGCAAGGUUGUGCUUCAAUUUGGCACCGAUACAGGUUUGCAUGAAUUGUAGAUGUGUGUUCUUUUGGUAAUUGUCUCCAUUGGAGGAGGCUAGAGUAUGUUUCAUGUGGACCAGACCACCCUUGCUGUUUUUAAGUUGCAUUUCGAUCACCUUUUCUUAAAAUUAA